UCACCACUCCUACACCAUAACAGGCUAGGUAAUCUCACCACUCCUACAUCAUAACAGGCUAGGUAAUCUCACCACUCCUACACCAUAACAGGCUAGGUAAUCUCACCACUCCUACACCAUAACAGGCUAGGUAAUCUCACCACUCCUACACCAUAACAGGCUAGGUAAUCUCACCACUCCUACAUCAUAACAGGCUAGGUAAUCUCACCACUCCUAGGUAAUAUCACCACUCCUACACCAUAACAGGCUAGGUAAUCUCACCACUCCUACACCAUAACAGGCUAGGUAAUCUCACCACUCCUCCAUCAUAACAGGCUAGGUAAUCUCACCACUCCUACACCAUAACAGGCUAGGUAAUCUCACCACUCCUACACCAUAACAGGCUAGGUAAUCUCACCACUCCUCCAUCAUAACAGGCUAGGUAAUCUCACCACUCCUACACCAUAACAGGCUAGGUAAUCUCACCACUCCUACACCAUAACAGGCUAGGUAAUCUCACCACUCCUACAUCAUAACAGGCUAGGUAAUCUCACCACUCCUACACCAUAACAGGCUAGGUAAUCUCACCACUCCUACACCAUAACAGGCUAGGUAAUAUCACCACUCCUACACCAUAACAGGCUAGGUAAUCUCACCACUCCUACAACAUAACAGGCUAGGUAAUCUCACCACUCCUACAUCAUAACAGGCUAGGUAAUCUCACCACUCCUACACCAUAACAGGCUAGGUAAUCUCACCACUCCUACACCAUAACAGGCUAGGUAAUCUCACCACUCCUACAUCAUAACAGGCUAGGUAAUCUCACCACUCCUACACCAUAACAGGCUAGGUAAUCUCACCACUCCUACACCAUAACAGGCUAGGUAAUAUCACCACUCCUACACCAUAACAGGCUAGGUAAUCUCACCACUCCUACAACAUAACAGGCUAGGUAAUAUCACCACUCCUACACCAUAACAGGCUAGGUAAUCUCACCACUCCUACAUCAUAACAGGCUAGGUAAUCUCAACACUCCUACACCAUAACAGGCUAGGUAAUCUCACCACUCCUACACCAUAACAGGCUAGGUAAUCUCACCACUCCUACACCAUAACAGGCUAGGUAAUCUCACCACUCCUACACCAUAACAGGCUAGGUAAUCUCACCACUCCUACACCAUAACAGGCUAGGUAAUCUCACCACUCCUACACCAUAACAGGCUAGGUAAUCUCACCACUCCUACAGCAUAACAGGCUAGGUAAUAUCACCACUCCUACAUCAUAACAGGCUAGGUAAUCUCACCACUCCUACACCAUAACAGGCUAGGUAAUCUCACCACUCCUACAACAUAACAGGCUAGGUAAUCUCACCACUCCUACAGCAUAACAGGCUAGGUAAUCUCACCACUCCUACAUCAUAACAGGCUAGGUAAUCUCACCACUCCUACAUCAUAACAGGCUAGGUAAUCUCACCACUCCUACACCAUAACAGGCUAGGUAAUCUCACCACUCCUACACCAUAACAGGCUAGGUAAUCUCACCACUCCUACAACAUAACAGGCUAGGUAAUCUCACCACUCCUACAUCCUAACAGGCUAGGUAAUCUCACCACUCCUACACCAUAACAGGCUAGGUAAUCUCACCACUCCUACAUCAUAACAGGCUAGGUAAUCUCACCACUCCUACACCAUAACAGGCUAGGUAAUCUCACCACUCCUACAUCAUAACAGGCUAGGUAAUCUCACCACUCCUACAUCAUAACAGGCUAGGUAAUAUCACCACUCCUACACCAUAACAGGCUAGGUAAUCUCACCACUCCUACACCAUAACAGGCUAGGUAAUCUCACCACUCCUACAUCAUAACAGGCUAGGUAAUCUCACCACUCCUACAUCAUAACAGGCUAGGUAAUCUCACCACUCCUACAUCAAAACAGGCUAGGUAAUCUCACCACUCCUACAUCAUAACAGGCUAGGUAAUCUCACCACUCCUACACCAUAACAAGCUAGGUAAUCUCAACACUCCUACAUCAUAACAGACUAGGUAAUCUCACCACUCCUACACCAUAACAGGCUAGGUAAUCUCACCACUCCUACAUCAUAACAGGCUAGGUAAUAUCACCACUCCUACAUCAUAACAGGCUAGGUAAUCUCAC